CGAGUUUGAUCCUGGCUCAGAUUGAACGCUGGCGGCAUGCCUUACACAUGCAAGUCGAACGGUAACGGGCCUUCGGGUGCCGACGAGUGGCGAACGGGUGAGUAAUGUAUCAGAACGUACCUUCAGUGGGGAUAACGUAGCGAAAGUUACGCUAAUACCGCAUAUUCUGUGAGCAGGAAAGCAGGGGAUCGCAAGACCUUGCGCUGAUUGAGCGGCCGAUAUCAGAUUAGCUAGUUGGUGAGGUAAAGGCUCACCAAGGCGACGAUCUGUAGCGGGUCUGAGAGGAUGAUCCGCCACACUGGAACUGAGACACGGUCCAGACUCCUACGGGAGGCAGCAGUGGGGAAUUUUGGACAAUGGGGGCAACCCUGAUCCAGCCAUGCCGCGUGAGUGAAGAGGGCCUUCGGGUUGUAAAGCUCUUUCGGCCGGGAAGAAAUCGUAUGGGUUAAUACCCUGUGCGGAUGACGGUACCGGCAUAAGAAGCACCGGCUAACUACGUG
rnacentral:rRNA from 1 species